rnacentral:rRNA from 1 species
CCUACGGGAGGCAGCAGUGGGGAAUAUUGGGCAAUGGAGGAAACUCUGACCCAGCGACGCCGCGUGCGGGAUGAAGGCCUUCGGGUUGUAAACCGCUUUCAGCAGGGAAGAAGCGAAAGUGACGGUACCUGCAGAAGAAGCACCGGCUAACUAUGUGCCAGCAGCCGCGGUAAUACAUAGGGUGCAAGCGUUGUCCGGAAUUAUUGGGCGUAAAGAGCUCGUAGGUGGUUCGUCACGUCGGAUGUGAAAAUCUGGGGCUUAACCCCAGACCUGCAUUCGAUACGGGCGAGCUUGAGUAUGGUAGGGGAGUCUGGAAUUCCUGGUGUAGCGGUGGAAUGCGCAGAUAUCAGGAGGAACACCAAUGGCGAAGGCAGGACUCUGGGCCAUUACUGACACUGAGGAGCGAAAGCGUGGGGAGCGAACAGGAUUAGAUACCCUGGUAGUCCACGCCGUAAACGGUGGGCACUAGUUGUGGGGACCUUCCAUGGUCUCUGCGACGCAGCUAACGCAUUAAGUGCCCCGCCUGGGGAGUACGAUCGCAAGAUUAAACUUAAUGAAUUGACGG